GACGAGCCACACGAACGUUAUUCGGAAUUACUGGGCUUAAAGGGUGCGUAGGCUGCGCGGCAAGUUGGGUGUGAAAUCCCUCGGCUCAACCGAGGAACUGCGCCCAAAACUGCCGUGCUCGAGGAAGAUAGAGGUAAGCGGAACUUACGGUGGAGCGGUGAAAUGCUUAGAUAUCGUCAAGAACACCUAUAGCGAAGGCAGCUUACCAGGCUGUAACUGACGCUGAGGCACGAAAGUGUGGGGAUCAAACAGG
rnacentral:rRNA from 1 species